GAUGAACGCUGGCGGCGUGCCUAAUACAUGCAAGUCGAGCGAACAGACGAGGAGCUUGCUCCUCUGACGUUAGCGGCGGACGGGUGAGUAACACGUGGAUAACCUACCUAUAAGACUGGGAUAACUUCGGGAAACCGGAGCUAAUACCGGAUAAUAUAUUGAACCGCAUGGUUCAAUAGUGAAAGACGGUUUUGCUGUCACUUAUAGAUGGAUCCGCGCCGCAUUAGCUAGUUGGUAAGGUAACGGCUUACCAAGGCGACGAUGCGUAGCCGACCUGAGAGGUGAUUCGCCAACCCAGAACUGAGACACGGUCCAGACUCCUACGGGAGGCAGCAGUAGGGAAUCUUCCGCAAUGGGCGAAAGCCUGACGGAGCAACGCCGCGUGAGUGAUGAAGGUCUUCGGAUCGUAAAACUCUGUUAUUAGGGAAGAACAAAUGUGUAAGUAACUAUGCACGUCUUGACGGUACCUAAUCAGAAAGCCACGGCUAACUACGUG
rnacentral:rRNA from 1 species